rnacentral:lncRNA from 1 species
GGAAAACGCAAGGACUUUGAAAUCAGACCUGGGGCUUUCCCCCUACUUGGGUAAGCGAUUUGGUUCUCUGAGCCUUGGUUUCUACACCUGUGAAAUGGGAGUUCAUAAUACUUGCCUCAAAAAAAAAAUUUGCACAAAUUAAGUAUACAAAAAGCCUACAGCACAAUACCCAACCUGGAGUAUUUCAUGCUGCUCAGUAAGUACUUGUCCAUCUGUUUUCCUUAUGGGCUACACUGCACAAAUUGGCUAUGUAAUUUGGCACUUGUUUAUGUACCCGCUCAUGCUGUUACCAGCUUCUUUAUUGUUCUUUAUUGUGUGUGAUUAUUAUUCCUCCUCUCCAGACUACAUUGUAAUCUCUUCCAAUUCAAGGACUCUAUCUCCUUUGUCCUUUGUACCCAUAGUUCAAUGAAUGGUUUUUGAAGUUAGAGUAGCAGUUGUUUGAGAAAAGAUAAAAUACAUUCGUGAACUAC